GUGCUCACUUCGGCAGCACGUAUACUAAAAUUGGAAUGAUAGAGAGAUUAGCAUGGCUCCUGUGCAAGGAUGACAUGCAAAUUCACGAAGCGUUCCAUAUUUCU